GUCGAACGGUACAGCGGAGCUUGCGUCCGGCUGACGAGUGGCGCACGGGUGCGUAACGCGUAUACAAUCUACCUUUUACAGGGGUAUAGCCUUUAGAAAUGAAGAAUAAUCCCCCAUAAUAUCUUAUUAGUGGCAUCAUUAAAAGAUUAAAGCUUCGGUGGUAAGAGAUGAGUAUGCGUUCUAUUAGCUAGUAGGUGAGGUAACGGCUCACCUAUGCGACGAUAGAUAGGGGCCCUGAGAGGGGGAUCCCCCACACUGGUACUGAGACACGGACCAGACUCCUACGGGAGGCAGCAGUGAGGAAUAUUGGACAAUGGGCGCAAGCCUGAUCCAGCCAUGCCGCGUGCAGGAAGACUGCCCUAUGGGUUGUAAACUGCUUUUAUAUAGGAAGAAACCAUUCUACGUGUAGAGUGCUGACGGUACUAUAAGAAUAAGCAUCGGCUAACUCCGUGCCAGCAGCCGCGGUAAUACGGAGGAUGCUAGCGUUAUCCGGAAUCAUUGGGUUUAAAGGGUCCGUAGGUGGAUAGAUAAGUCAGAGGUGAAAUCCUGCAGCUCAACUGUAGAAUUGCCUUUGAAACUGUUUAUCUUGAAUUAUGGUGAAGUGGUUAGAAUAUGUAGUGUAGCGGUGAAAUGCAUAG
rnacentral:rRNA from 1 species